GCAGACACAUUCCAGCCAAUCAGCAGCAGACCCUCCCUCCCUCCCAGACCCUCCCACCUCCUGGACAGCAUCCAUUGUGAAGCUGCAUUCUUAGUGAGCUGUCCAGGAGGUGGGAGGGUCUGGGAGGGAGGGUCUGCUGCUGAUUGGCUGGAAUGUGUCU